UACGUAGGGGGCAAGCGUUGUCCGGAUUUAUUGGGCGUAAAGCGCGCGCAGGCGGUCCUUUAAGUCUGAUGUGAAAGCCCACGGCUCAACCGUGGAGGGUCAUUGGAAACUGGGGGACUUGAGUACAGAAGAGAAGAGUGGAAUUCCACGUGUAGCGGUGAAAUGCGUAGAGAUGUGGAGGAACACCCGUGGCGAAGGCGGCUCUCUGGGACGGUACUGACGCUGAGACGCGAAAGCGUGGGGAGCGAACAGG
rnacentral:rRNA from 1 species